GACUACAGGGGUAUCUAAUCCUGUUUGAUCCCCACGCUUUCGUGCCUCAGCGUCAAUUCAAGCCCAGCAAGCUGCCUACGCAAUUGGUGUUCUAUGACAUAUCUAUGCAUUUCACCGCUACAUGUCACAUUCCGCCUACCUCAACUUGAUUCAAGUCUGACAGUAUCAAAGGCAAUUUAACAGUUAAGCUGCUAGCUUUCACCUCUGACUUAUCAAACCGCCUACGCACCCUUUAAACCCAGUGAUUCCGGAUAACGCUUGCACCCUCCGUAUUACCGCGGCUGCUGGCACGGAGUUAGCCGGUGCUUAUUCGUAAGGUACCGUCAACAGCACAUGAAUGUCCUGAUUUCUUCCCAAACAAAAGAAGUUUACAACCCAUAGGGCCUUAAUCCUUCACGCGGGAUGGCUGGGUCAGAGUUGCCUCCAUUGCCCAAUAUUCCUUACUGCUGCCCCCCGUAGG
rnacentral:rRNA from 1 species